rnacentral:lncRNA from 1 species
CAUGAAACGAAAGUGGAUGAGGGAGACAAAGAGCUGCCAGUGGUGCUUAAUCUCUGGACUCCUACAGGUUAAUGGAGCCGGAAGCAGGAAUUGCUGCAGUUGAAGAGAACAGAACUCUAUCGAGCUGCCAUGUAAACAAGCCCAGGCUAUCCUGCUGGAGAAUGAGAAAUGCAUGUUUCUUUCACCCUCAUCACCCCAGCGAACAGUGAACCAACCAUGAGAUGUAUGUAGAGAGACAGAGGGACAACAGCAGGAGGAGGCUGUGAAGAAUAUCCUGGAGAGCCGGAGAUGGAGAGAUGGAGGGGUAUCUGAUGAGGUCCCACUGGAGCGCAGAACUUCUUCCUUCCAGGGAACUACGUCCUUGGAAAUAUCUUCACAAGCACCCCACUAGGAAGUCAACAUUCGGACAUCAGGGCAGGAUCACAGCAGCACCAGUUACGAUGUCCUCCCUGCUCCUACUUCCCUGGGUGUCUGGAUCAUUGGCUAUAGUCUCAGCCAUUCUAAGUGACUGAGCAAGAAUGACUCACCUGAACUAUACAUUUCUAUGUCUUGUCCAAAGCUGUGGCCAAAGACAUCGUCC